AGGGGUGAAAUGCCAAUCGAACCCGGAGCUAGCUGGUUCUCCCCGAAAUACGUUGAGGCGUAGCGUCUAGUGCUCCAGCAGGGGGGUAAAGCCACCAUUUCGGUGCGGGCUGCGAGAGCGGUACCUAAUCGAGAUGAACUCUGAAUACCCUGUGUGUAACUAGGCAGUCAGACUGUGGGGGAUAAGCUCCAUAGUCGAAAGGGAAACAGCCCAGACCGCCAGCUAAGGUCCCUAAAUCAACACUAAGUGAUAAAGGAGGUGGGAUUGCAUAGACAACCAGGAGGUUUGCCUAGAAGCAGCCAUCCUCAAAGGAGUGCGUAAUAGCUCACUGGUCGAGCGAUCCUGCGCCGAAAAUGAACGGGGCUAAGUGUUGUACCGAAGCUGCGGAUUUAACUUGUUAAAUGGUAGGGGAGCGUUCUAUGUGGGGCGAAGCGUUAGCGUAAGCGGGCGUGGACUGCAUAGAAGUGAGAAUGUCGGCUUGAGUAGCGAAAACAUGGGUGAGAAUCCCAUGCCCCGAAACCCUAAGGGUUCCUCCGGCAGGCUCGUCCGCGGAGGGUUAGUCUGGACCUAAGGCGAGGCCGAAAGGCGUAGUCGAUGGACAACAGGUCAACAUUCCUGUACCGGUUAUGUUUUGGGAAGGGGGACGGAGAAGGCUAGCCAAGCCAGAUGUUGGUUACUGGUUUAAGCGUUCGAGGCGUUGAGGAGCGGAGAAAACGUUCUGAGCUAAGGCGUGAAUACGAGCUGCUACGGCAGUGAAGUUGGUGAUGUCAUGCUUCCAAGAAAAGCCCUAUACCCGUUAAGGCAUAACUGCCAGUACCCGAAACCGACACAGGUAGGGUGGUAGAGAAUACCGAGGGGCGCGAGAUAACUCUCUCUAAGGAACUCGGCAAAAUGGCCCCGUAACUUCGGGAGAAGGGGUGCCAGCGAGAGCUGGUCGCAGUGAAGAGGCCCAGGCGACUGUUUACCAAAAACACAGGUCUCCGCUAAGUCGCAAGACGAUGUAUGGGGGCUGACGCCUGCCCAGUGCCGGAAGGUUAAGGAAGCCGGUCAGCGUAAGCGAAGCUGGCGACUGAAGCCCCGGUGAACGGCGGCCGUAACUAUAACGGUCCUAAGGUAGCGAAAUUCCUUGUCGGGUAAGUUCCGACCUGCACGAAUGGUGUAACGAAUUGGGCACUGUCUCAACCAUGACCCCAG
rnacentral:rRNA from 1 species